UACAGAAGUGCCGAGCGUUAGGCGGAAUCACUGGGCUUAAAGCGUGUGUAGGCGGAUGCCUAAGUACCUUGUGAAAUCCCACGGCUUAACCGUGGAACUGCUCGGUAUACUGGGUGUCUUGAGCCACUUAGGGGCUACCGGAACAAAUGGUGGAGCGGUGAAAUGCGUAGAUAUCAUUUGGAACGCCAAUGGUGAAAACAGGUAGCUGGGAGUGUGCUGACGCUGAGACACGAAAGCCAGGGGAGCGAACGGG
rnacentral:rRNA from 1 species